CAAAGUGUAUUUUGGUGCCCAUGCCCUCGCAGUAGGCCUGGAACACUGUGCUCGUGAAUUGCGUGGCGUUGUCGGUGAUGAUGCCGUUAGGCACACCAAACCAUAUAAAACUUCAAAUUUGGCCAAACGGUUUGAAAGAUAUGAUGUUUUGAAAUUGCAGAGGCUUUUCUGCAAAGUUACCAUUUAAUUUCGGCCGGGAUUUGUUUUAUUAAAAAGAAAGGACACGUGGCGCUAUCCAAUAGGCCGGUACCGUUUCGGUAAGGCUUUUAAUCAUAGCUGUUGGAUCUCACUUAACAUAACACGGGCGGCCCAGAUUUAAUCAUACCGGUUCACAAUAAAUGAUCUAAUCUUAGCCGUCGAACGAGAUCCGACGGCCGGGAGGCAUCUGCCUUACCUCCGACGAGGGCGUUAGGGUUCCGGCGAUGGCGGUGUUGCGGGAACUUGGGCGGCGGCGUUUCCGGUGAAGCUGGGAGCUCAGGAGAAGGCAAGGACGUGGAGUCGUGGGCGACACGGGCGCUCGGCGCGGAGAAAGCAGCGGCGGUUGGAGAAGAAGGUGCUGACAGGGGGCCCCACCAGUCAGCGGCAUAGGUGCGCGCACGGGCUGGCUCGGUCGGUCGGCUCGGUCCAGUCGGUCCGGUUCGGUUCGGUCAGUUCGGCCCACUUGGCCGGGCCGGCCUCGGUUUUCUAUUUUUGUUUUCUUCUUUCCUUUUUCUUUUUUUCUAUUUUCUGUCUUUGAACCCCAAAUCUGAUUUAAAACUCCAAAUCACUCUAAAUAAAAUGCAACAAAAUUUGUAAAAUCAUAUUGUCAUAUGAUCUAACUUUUGGGACAAGAAUUCCAUCGAAAUAAAAUAUUUAAAAAUACAUUUGCCUAUAAGAUGACUUUUAGGGCCUUUUAGGCUAACAAAAUAAAUUAUUUUUCAAAAGAAUUUCAAAAGUCAACAUGUGGGAUAGCUAUAUGUAUGCAUUAAAUCUCUUUUUAUACCAAAACCCUCAUGGUUGAAAUGCAAAUUAAUCAAAAGCAAGAUCAAAGCCUAAAUUCAAAUAAAGGCAUUUUUGCAAAAGGUUUUCUAGGUAAAUUUUAGGGUUUUGAAAGUGAUUAAAUGGAAGGGUGACAUGAUGCUUAUGCAUUUCAAUGCAUAUGGAGAGUUUUGAAAAUUUGGGAUGUUACAGACCUAACCCCCUUAAGAUGAAUCUCGUCCUCGAGAUUCCUGUUGGUUAGCAAAAAGGUGUGGGUGGUCUUCUCAAAGAUCAUCCUCGCGUUCCCACGUAGCUUCUUCUUCGGUGUGCUGAUUCCACUGAACCUUGCAGAACUUGAUGGUCUUGGAACAUGUACGUCUUUGAGCUGUUUCCAAGAUCCUGGUUGGUUUCUCUUCCUACGUGAGAUCGCUUUGAAUCUCAGCUUCAUCAAGUGGAAU
rnacentral:lncRNA from 1 species